rnacentral:pre_miRNA from 1 species
CUUGAGGGGGGGAGGGUCCCUCAGCCCAGAUUGUGAGAGGGCACAGGCCAAGCUGAGGGACCCCACCAGUGUACA